rnacentral:rRNA from 1 species
AAUAUUGGACAAUGGGGGCAACCCUGAUCCAGCCAUGCCGCGUGUUUGAAGAAGGUCUUCGGAUUGUAAAGCAUGUUAUGGUGGGAGGAAGGGCUUGAGAUUAAUACCCUGAAAUUUUCACGUUCCCAACCUUAGAAGUCCCGGCUAACUCUAUGCCAGCAGCCGCGGUAAUACAGAGGGUGCAAGCGUUAAUCGGAAUUACUGGGCGCAAAGCGAGCGUAGGUGGUUCAGUAAGAUGGGUGUGAAAUCCCCGGGCUUAACCUGGGAACUGCUUUCAUAACUGCUGAGCUAGAGUACGGUAGAGGGUAGUGGAAUUUCCUGUGUAGCGGUGAAAUGCGUAGAUAUAGGAAGGAACACCAGUGGCGAAGGCGACUACCUGGACUGAUACUGACACUGAGGUGCGAAAGCGUGGGGAGCAAAC